AUCUCUACUUGGAGAUUACUUUCUUUGGAGUGUUUAGUGAGCCCUGAUUCUUGGAAGGGGUGACUCCUUGUUGGCUUUGAAUCAGUGGAACUUAACCUCUGAGUAAAACUGAAGAUGGCAACCGUGAUGUUCGUUGCUUAGGGGAGCCUGCGGCUUGGCCACAUACCGAGGUGACACCAAUAUGAUGAGCGGGAGAAGCCUGUCCCGUACAUCCCGUGCCCCCGCAAGACGCUUACUACAACAUGCAUGACAUAUAGAUCUGGAAGAAUACCUCAGAAAAGUUCUAGAAUGUUUGUUAUAAUAAUAAUGGCAAUGAUAAGUAAGUUUGUUUGUUUGUUAAGCACUUACAGUGUUCUCAUAAUGAACUUGACUUGGCUGUGUUUACUCCUUUUAUGUUUACUUUUUGCAAAUGUUCAUUGGGUUUAUUAUUCUCACAGGAAUGUUUGCUGAAAUGUUCAUUUUAAAGAGGAUUUUGGAAGACAUUCUUAAAUUGUAAAUUUUAAACUCAUAAAUAUUAGAGCCAUUAGAGAGUAUUCAUUUACUUACGAAUUAUGGUUAUCAUCUUAGAGAACAAAAGAAAUGUUUUAUCCAAUUAUAGUUAACACAAGGGAAAAUAACAGAUUUUGCUAGCAAUGAGCUGCUUGAAUGUAAUGUGCCAAGUAAGAUAUUUUCUUAGCACUUGAAAUGUUAAUUCUGUAGUGAUUCCUACCAACUGAUGAACGUAGAUAUUGUGUGUAUUUCUCUACUCACGUGCCUCCCUCUGCAGGGUAUAUGGUUCUGUUGUAAACUUAACCAGGGAGAAGUUAAAUUCACAAAUCAGUCUUUUUGAUUGUGUGUGUUGUAUGUGCUUGUGGUGCUCAUAAAAAGAAAUCCUUAAUUCAUGUAAUCAAUGGCCAUAACAAAUCAUUCUUAAACUCCUUGUGCAAAACAUGAUUUGUUCAUUUAGCAAGCAACAGUAACUUGUACCAUUUUUCAUCCUGGGGUCCUGAGUUUGGACAGCAGAAAAUGUCAACUCUCCUCUCUCACCUAUCUGUCAUGAAAAUUUGGGUGGUCUUUCCCCAUGUAUGUUUACUUCCAUGUCAUCCCUGCACUAUGACUGUUGAACUCUAUGGCUGCUCCAUGCUCAUCAACAAUCCAUUAUUUGUGUCUAAUUCCAGUCAGCUUCCUUGAGCAACAACUUCAUAGGAAUUUCAUAGUUAGAGCCCUUAACUGGGGACACAACCACAGACAGAGAGUGAGCUCAUGGAUUACUCUGGAAGAGACAGCAUUCUUUCUUUUCUAUCAAAAAAUGUGGAAGAAAUGAAAAAAUAAAAUGAAAGAAUCAGAGGUAAACUGAAGAAAUUAAAAAAUAAAAAAGAAGCUGCUGUCCAUUUAGAUUGUGGUAAUUUGUUAUGAUGUUUACUAAAAUGCUUUUGAAAAACACAAUGAAGCAAAGCUUAAAUGCAAAAAUAAAAUAACCUGCCCACAAAUAUAAGCAAGGACAUUUAUCAGAAAACAGAUGUUCUCUUAUAGCAGAACUAAACACUCCUAGAAACAUAACAAUCCAUUUAUCUUAAUGAAUGCAUCCUCUAGCAGAUAUUAGAAGUAACAGCAGCAACAGUUUACCUGCAGGUCUACUAAAUGUAUUUCCAUGAAAAUUUGGGACAUAGGGAUAAGCUUGGGAUUUUGAUUCUUUUUUUUUUCCCUUGAUCAGAUAUUGAUUAGGGAAGAACUUUGUUUUUCCCUUGGUUAUGAAGAUGACUUGUUCUCUGGAGUCAAUUUCUGUACAAUUUAAGUAACUGCAAAUCUUUUUAAAGUUAUAUCUAGUUACUCUACAGUGGCAUCUGGAAAUCAGACCCAGUCCUUGCACAUGCCCUCUGUAAUGAGAGAAUCUCUUAAGAAGUUGAAUUAUCAGUUUCCAUCUCCCUUUGCAUCACUGAAGAAGUUUAAGAACAACAUCUUAGCUAUGGUCAGUAGUAAACAAGUUUUUAAAAAUAUUUCCAGCACACUAUAAGUGGAUUCUACCUAGAAUUGUAUUCAUUUCUAAACUCCUAUUCUUUCUCAAUUGAUAAAUGAUUAGCCAAAAUUCUGCGAAUAAUUCUCAAAGAUAGUCAGUUCCUCUUGUACAGAAAAUUCUGAAUAAUAACAGAACAUUAUGUAAACUGUUCAUUUUAAUAUUAUUCUUCCUAGGAAUUCAGUACAGCAUUAUAAGCAUUAGUGCCAUAAAUUGUCUCUGGCUUGACUUUUGUAGCAUUUACAAUUGCUUUUAAGUUAGAAUACUUGUAAUGACCUUUUAUAAUGACUUGUAUUACCAUUAAGCAUACCUAAACAUUUAACUGUCCUUAUAACAGCAGAAGGGUCUCACAAAUAAACAUAUAUCAGC
rnacentral:lncRNA from 1 species